rnacentral:rRNA from 1 species
CGCGGCCUAUCAGCUUGUUGGUGAGGUAACGGCUCACCAAGGCGAUGACGGGUAGCUGGCGUGAGAGCGUGGUCAGCCACACUGGGACUGAGACACGGCCCAGACUCCUACGGGAGGCAGCAGUGGGGAAUUUUGCACAAUGGGGGCAACCCUGAUGCAGCGACGCCGCGUGUGGGAGGAAGGCCUUCGGGUUGUAAACCACUGUCGGGCGGGACGAGCCGGGGGUCGUCGAACAGGCGGCUCCUCCGACGGUACCGCCCAUAGGAAGCUCCGGCUAACUCCGUGCCAGCAGCCGCGGUAAAACGGAGGGAGCAAGCGUUGUCCGGAAUUACUGGGCGUACAGAGCGUGUAGGCGGCCAGGUAAGUCGUAUGUGAAAGGCCCGGGCUCAACCCGGGCAUGCCAUGCGAUACUGCCUGGCUAGAGGCCGGCAGGGGCCAGUGGAAUUCCCGGUGUAGCGGUGGAAUGCGUAGAUAUCGGGAGGAACACCGGCGGCGAAGGCGACUGGCUGGGCCGGGUCUGACGCUGCAGCGCGAAAGCGUGGGGAUCAAACAGGAUUAGAUACCCUGGUAGUCCACGCCGUAAACGAUGGGCACUAGAUGUUGGGAGGUCUUGGGCCUUUCAGUGUCGCAGCUAACGCAUUAAGUGCCCCGCCUGGGGAGUACGG